GACAGAGGGUGCGAACGUUGUUCGGAAUUACUGGGCGUAAAGCGCGUGUAGGCGGCAAUGCAAGUCGGGCGUGAAAUCCCACGGCUCAACCGUGGAAGUGCACUCGAAACUGCAUAGCUAGAGUCCUGGAGAGGAAGGUGGAAUGCUUGGUGUAGAGGUGAAAUUCGUAGAUAUCAAGCGGAACACCGGUGGCGAAGGCGGCCUUCUGGACAGUGACUGACGCUGAGACGCGAAAGCGUGGGGAGCAAACAGG
rnacentral:rRNA from 1 species